rnacentral:rRNA from 1 species
UAGGGAAUCUUCGGCAAUGGACGAAAGUCUGACCGAGCAACGCCGCGUGAGUGAAGAAGGUUUUCGGAUCGUAAAACUCUGUUGUUAGAGAAGAACAAGGACGUUAGUAACUGAACGUCCCCUGACGGUAUCUAACCAGAAAGCCACGGCUAACUACGUGCCAGCAGCCGCGGUAAUACGUAGGUGGCAAGCGUUGUCCGGAUUUAUUGGGCGUAAAGCGAGCGCAGGCGGUUUCUUAAGUCUGAUGUGAAAGCCCCCGGCUCAACCGGGGAGGGUCAUUGGAAACUGUGAGACUUAAGUGCAGAAGAGGAGAGUGGAAUUCCAUGUGUAGCGGUGAAAUGCGUAGAUAUAUGGAGGAACACCAGUGGCGAAGGCGGCUCUCUGGUCUGUAACUGACGCUGAGGCUCGAAAGCGUGGGGAGCAAACAGG